UACAGAGGGUGCAAGCGUUGUUCGGAAUUACUGGGCGUAAAGGGUCUGUAGGCGGUGCGGCAAGUCGGAAGUGAAAUCGCAGGGCUUAACUCUGCGGCUGCUUCCGAAACUGCCGUGCUCGAGUGUGAGAUAGGCGAGUGGAAUUGCAGGUGUAGCGGUGAAAUGCGUAGAUAUCUGCAGGAACAUCCGAGGCGAAAGCGGCUCGCUGGAUCACAACUGACGCUGAGAGACGAAAGCUAGGGGAGCAAACAGG
rnacentral:rRNA from 1 species